GGGCCUAUAGCUCAGUCGGUUAGAGCGCUUCCCUGAUAAGGAAGAGGUCGGAAGUUCAAGUCUUCCUAGGCCCA
rnacentral:tRNA from 1 species